rnacentral:lncRNA from 1 species
AUGGUGCAUGUUCCUACAUUGCUACAUGGAAGCAGGAACUCCCAAACACCUAGGAACGAUGAGGUGGAGAGGAAGCAGCAUCACCUGAACCGUUCAGCAGAGGUGUUGUCACCUCCACAGCCUCUGACUGGUGACUGGACGAAGUUUGAGGGAACAGCUACAAGAAAAACCAUUUUCCCGUGGUGUGCACUGACUCCUCAGACCCUGAAGUGGAUUUGCAGAGUACUUGGCUCUGAAGGUGGGCUGCACUUCUGAAAAAGUGGUGACGUCACUUCCUCACCUAAAAGGCAGAUUUUCAGAGGUAGAUACUCCCAUGGCCAUUUGCUGGAGUUGGAAACCUGUCUGCAAGCUGGGAGGUUUGAUGAUCAAAGUCCCCAGAGCUGCCCAUGAGUUCCUGUGUUUCUGUGCCAAAUUCCAGCGAACAAAACCCUAAAAUAAAAAAAUAGUCUUACCACAAGGAAACUAUUUUUGGCAGUUUAUAGGAAUCUCAGCUAAUAUUCUCAUUUCUCUAAUGUUAAUUUUAAUGUCACUGCUGGAAAUGAGACUGGCUGCACAGUUUUGAGUCCAAAGAUGCUGGAAAAUCAAGUGUUCUCUCAUAGCAACAGAUCACAGAUGGAAAAGUGACACCUGAGAUGAACAGCGAAAUCCACACAGGGUCUCUAUGAAUUAACAGGAAUGGACUCUGUUGGAAGUGCAGACACUUCCCAGAAUGUGAAGUGAUUCACAUUCCCAGAAACAGUGAAAUCAUAUUUUUCAAGCAUGGCAUAGUGGGCAAGAAAAUGUAGUACAUUCAAUUUUUAAUUUUUUUUUUCCCCCUGUACAUCUGAGUCAGCCUGCUAGUUUGAGCUGAAAAGUGUUUUCCUAAAAUUUUAAUUCCUCUGAGGAACAAAGGGUAAAGGGACAUGAUGUUUUUCUAGGAUUUGAGUAUCUCUAAAGGAAAUGUGAUCUUGGAGGAAAUCAGGGCUAAGCUCUCUUCAGGAAAUGCUGUUAAUCUGAGACAACAAACUCAUCAAUGAAGCUCAAAAAUUACUUUGCACAUGAAAAUGGAGAUCAGCAGAAGCAGAACAAAGUGGGCAUUUUUAGUAUUACAAAUGUAUAUUCAAGCCAAGAGUUAUGAAGUUGGAAGUGGCCAGCCAAAUGUGUUGUUUUCUGAAAGUGCUCUUAGACCUAGAGGGAACUCUGAGAUUUAUAGCAGCUGAUAUAGCUAUGAAAUCUGAAAUUUCCAGAUUUAGGAACUGCAGAAAUUGAGCUGGGAAGGUUUACACACAACAUCUCAUGAGUAUUGCCCUCCCAGUUAUUCAGGAUUGGAAUUUUAAAAGAUCCAGCUAGAUGCAAUUAGCUUGGAGUUUGUCCCUCCUUGAUCAUUUGGAAGUGACUCUCUCAGGUGUUUUGGAUGAGUAUUUUGCUAAAUAAUGGAUCAGGUGAAUCAGAUAAGGUUUGUGAUUUUCAAUCUUACACAGACUGUAUACAACUGACCCAAAUUCACUACAGAUUUAAGAAACAAAAGGAAAGAAAAAGGUUGUACAUGACCAUAUCCAUGAGGUUUGAGGAUGGAAUGCUUCCUGUGAACGGGUUGCUACUUCACUCUGGUUUUGGAGGUUUAUUCCAUUAAGUGCCUCCAGGCACUUAAUAUGUAGCUCAAGUUUCCAUUUUUUGGUGGGAUUGCACAUGCCUGAGCUACCCACAAAUUCAGAUACGUGGUUAAUAACAAAAAGAAAAUGGUUUUCAGUAAGGUUUAUUCUAGAGAGUUAUCAGUUCUCUGGUCUAGGUCAAAAUUGAUUUAGAUCUUGGUUUGAGCUGAAAAUGGCAGUCCUCAUAAAUUUAUAGUGUUCGCUUUUGCUCUGACACACAAACCUGGACAAAAAUAAAGUACAUUCCAACAGGAAGUUUGCAAAUUCUGGGUGAAUUAGUGGCAGAGGGUUCCAAAAUGUGAUUUCUCUGAUGUAACAAAUUCAGCCAUAAAACAUUUGAAAAUAUUUCCCUCUGCACAGAUAAAGGGAGAGCAAACCAAACCAAAAUUAAACCAUCUUUACAUUAUGAAGCACAAUCAACAUUUUGAGUGUAUAAAUGAAAGAUGAUGAUCCCUACUUUCUACUGAAAUUUGUUAUAUUGCUUAGAAUUUUUUUCUCACUUGAAUCUAGAUGAAUCUACAUAAGAACUUUUGAUCCUCUGAUCUGAGCUGACCCACAGUAAAAUGGAAAUCAGGGCUGUCUGUAAAAAUGCAUCCCAUAGAAACUAUGAUUGAGUUGGUUUCAGAUAUGGGUUCCUCCACAUGCCUAUGGAUCACAGAAUUUUGAAGUGCAGUGUUCUAUCAUUUCUCUUCAAAUGCAAAAUUGGAUUUUUGUAGCUCCCUGUCAUUUGCAACAAUUUGUGUGGAAAAACCCCCCAAAAUACACACUGAAAUGUAUAAAAAUAUUUAUCUAUGUCUACUUAUUUUACAAUUUUUUUCUACUAGGCGCAAGACAUUUUGCUGUCUUAUUUUGUUGAAUGUAUAUGGUAUUCAGUGAAUUCAGAAGGCCUUGGCAAUAGGGAUUUCUCAAAUAUGGGAAUAAAUAUAAUGUCGCCCCAUUUUUUUUGUCUACAGUUAUGGGUCAAAUCCGCUAUCAAGCUGUAUCAUAGUUAUGAAAUCCCCAAAAUAAACAAAACAAUACAUCUUUGGGUCUUUUGAAAUGUAGAAAUGGUGUUUAUUUUCAGAUCUUUAGUAUGGAACCAUGUGGUUGCCCCUAAAAAAUUUUCUGGGCAUUUUUUAAAAAACAUUUUUCAAGCAAACAGUUUACACACAAAACCACUCUAUGAUCUUGGGGAAGAUUUGAUGUGAAUUAGUUUUACAGGUAUUUUUUAAUAUUUUAUGGUAAAUUUUUAUUGAUUUAGUAUUACUGUUUGUGCUCAAAAAUGGAAAGAUUUACAUAAAUGUUUAAGCUCUAAAGCAACACACUUGAAAGCUCUGAGUGUCAUAUAAUUCAGAUUUUUGCAGACUUCAUGGUCAUUAGCAGAAGAUAAAUAUUAGCCUUUAGUGAGUAUAUCAUAUCACUCUAGAAACAAGCACCUAACCAGUGAGUGUGCUUUCCUCAAGAGAACAAAAAAAAUUUUACAUUGUAAAUGGUACCAUGGAAAGAUGUGACAUCAUAUUUGAAACAGAUAAACCUGGAAAAACCUCGGGCUGUAGCACUUGUCUGGUUAGGUAUUAUGUAUUGUGUUGUUGGGGUGUUGUAUUGUUUGGUUUAGGCUGUUCUUGUUGAAUCUGCUCUCCCCAGUUUCAGUCUCUUGUGCUCCGAGUUGUACCCUCCCCCACAAUUCCUGUAUCCUCAGUUUCCCCCUUACCUUCCGUCGAGCAAGGCCUCCGCUGCUUCCCACUUGUUCAUCAAACGGCUGAUGCCACCCAAUAAUAAACAAAUUGAGAGACUCCCGUGAUGCUGAGCUCUAGGCAGAAGUUUGAUUAACACCAAAAGUUCCUAAAAGCAACGAGCAGGCAUGAGAUCUAAAUCUACAAGAGACACCAUUAGGCGUGCAGAACAUCAAGCUAUGUGUGGAUAGCCUCCAUCUUUCCACAAUCUUCAUCACCUGGAGAGCACCACAACAGGAUGACCCCCUAGACCAAGCGAGCCAAAGUGAGUUCCUGGGAACCCCCAUGAGGACGGAGCCCCCGACUCUGCAGCGUGAGCAGCGGAUUCGACCGGCGCCUCCUCCUCAGCGCCUCCUCAGCGAUAUCCAGUGGGAGCAGCAGCGGCGUGCGCAGCUCCCUGAGUUCCCCCACCCAUUGCUGUCUUAAUAACGGCCUUUGAAAAGGAGAUUUGUCUCCUGGCCCUGUUUUUAACAAUAUUGCCAAGAUUACUAAUUUAGGUCAGGGGUCCAAAAAAAUAUGUUUUCUCAAAUCCAUUCCUUUCCCCUCCCCAUCCUUAUCUCCAGACAAUUCGGAGGGAAAAUAGCAAAAAUAACCCAAAAUAACAGAAGAAAUUCAUGCCAUGCCUGACAUUUUGGGGGUUUGGUACUGCUAACUCUGAAAUGAGAUUCAAUGCUUUCUUGUGCUGGUUGUGCACUAUGGGAGUCCAGGGUGUUCCCCUGGCCUCCUUGGGGAUCUCAAAGACCCCUAAAUGAGACCCAGGUGUCUCAGGGGCUGAAUUUAGCUCCUUGGAACAAUUUACCAACAUUGAGAAAAGAAAUGCAAGCUGCAAAAAUAAAUAGAGUGUAAAUCAGGUUAUUAGAAUGUAGAAUAAAUAGAUAUCUAGAAUGCUUAUAUUAAGGGCUCGUGGUCAAGAUGGAGGAUUUGGGGCGUGGUGUGCUUCUUCCUCCUUCUUCUCCAUGCCAUCCAUGUUGAAGUGCCACCCUGGCAUCCUUUGAUUGGAUGGGGACAAAACUAGACAUUACAAUAAGGUUGUACUGUAUUGGAAAAUAAUUGUAAAUACCUAGUACAUCAUUUAGACUGUAAAAGAUAAGUCCUGCCUUUCUCAGGCAGAUUCUGCCCUGGACGUCUGGCGAGCAGACUGCUGUUCGCUGGACGAAGCAUUCCAGAGAUAAGAAACAAUAAACAACCAUGAAAACCUCUAAGAACGGUCUCCUGCAGUCUCUCAUCGACGGGCAUCAGAAAGAGCUGGGCUCCAGACCACCUUUAUGUCCUCUGGAGGGGAUCACAAGUCCAAGAAGACCCCCCUGGCAGUGACAGUGCACAUUUGACAUUUGGUGGGGAGGGAAGAAGCCACUUGUAGAAAGUAUUUUUCUGAGAUGAGCUGCUGAGAGCUUCCUCUGUGUCUGGCAAAAACCAGAGAUUGGUUUUGAGAACUGACAACCUGUUAAACCACUGAGAAAGCUGAACAUGCCUCUAUGAACACAUGUUAAAAACUCUCUUGCUUUCCAGCCUUUGGAGAGAGAAGUUCUUCCCUGUGCUGGUGUGGUUACUGGGCAGGGGACGGGAGGCCAUGGGGCCCCAGCUGAGGCUCGGCCAGGCCGUGGCUGCUGACAUCUCAC